AUAGGGGUGCUCCUUGGUUGGGUGUGCUCCAUAGGAAAGGAUUCCUUCCUCUGCAUCAAGUAUGAAUGCACCAUUCAAGAAAAUGAGUGUGAUGUAAAAGGAAAAACGAUGAAAAUAAUGAUGAAAAAAACAUGCUGGUUUGAGCUUACAGCACUGCUUUCAUUGUCCUGCAUGUGAGAUCAUGACUGUCUUUCUUUCAUGUCUUUCUUUACAAACAGGAAAACAUCGUAUAAGUGCCUUGCUGAAGCAAAACCCUCUUUUAUAUCUCUAGCUUUUACUUUACAGAGUCCUUACGAUGAAAUAUCUCUUCCAGAAGAGAGACAGCUCUUGUUCUGACACCUCAUGAAGUUGUCCCUGCUUCCUUCAAGGUUUCACAAAAGUUCCUGCUACUGUUAAAAGCCCGACCAUUUGAGAUCUGCUAGCCUGAAAAUCUCAUGUAUCAGGGUUAUUAUGCUCCCAUAGCUCCAGUCAAUCAAAUCCUUUGGAGAUGGGUCUUUGCUGGGAGCAGAAGGCACAUCACAGCUAGGCUCCAGUAAUGAGUUGCCCAUGCAGAUCAGCAGCUAAAUAGCCCAUAAAAGAGUAUAGCUACAUCCAGCUGCUACUCUUAAAAAUGAAACACAGCAUUGAAGACAGAAUUUUUUUCCUUCAAGUUCAUACCUGAGGUCAAUGAUAAUACUUACAGCACAGAGGUGGGCUAAACCUGAUGUUCUCCAAACACAGCUGUUUAAAAUAUGGCAGGUCCCUAUGUAUCAGUCAGGUGGAUGGCUCCCAGAUGACAUCAAAGCUAGCAGCAAACCCUUCUCCUGAGCUGGGGUGACCUUAUUUGAGCAGCUGGGAUCUACUCCCCUCAAACUUCAAGCUUCCACACAAGAUGAGGAUCCUUUUCUUCUCCUCUACCCCUUCCACUGAGGGCCUUCUAUUGUAGCACAACAACAGUGCUCAGAGGAGCACCACAGGUGGGAACAGGGGAAAGGGAAAUGUGAGACCUGCUUCUAACACUACUCCCCCUGCUACCGGAGCAUGGAGUCUACAGAAGGAGCAUAAUUCCAGCCAUUCCAAGAGGAAAAGGAGCAGGACUGAACUUGACUGUUGAU
rnacentral:lncRNA from 1 species